CACGCCUCCCAGAAUGUCUCCCUGCUUAGUUGAACGGAAGUUUAAUGAUAUUUAGUUUAAGUGGAAAAUUGAUCAAAUCAGAUCAUCUAACCUUUGUAAACUAGGCAACUGAAUCAUCUCAUCUCGACAAAGUUCAGUACAUGGUGAAGAUAUUAGAGUUUGACUAAUUCUCUUGAAAAAUGAAUCACCUCUCACCUCUCAACUUGCGUCGCGGGGCUAACAAAAUAUAGGUACAUGGUGAAGCCAAGUGACACUCUUAUUUUUCUUUCAUACAGGACUGUUGCGGUGCGUAGAAGAAAGGUGCCACUUUCACUUAGUUCUCUUAGUUCUAAGUUGGGACUGCAAAAAUUUGAGGAUUUCCCCACAUAGACCUGAAGUUUCUGCUUCUAGCAUUUCUCUUCUGUAAGCAGCAUGGCAAACCGGGUUUCAAAGUAAAGACCUGAGGAAGAAUGUAGAUUGAUCACUAUGAUUUCAAGUCCUUCAGAGCUGGAGCUGUUAAGACUUGAGACAGAUAUAUACAGGGCCACAGGGGCCUACAAGAUCCAAUUCAUAAGAAAGCUGAGGCACAUCAAUCAAACGCCAACCCACCUGCUAUUGGCACUAAAUGAGGAAGGAAAAAGAACAUUGUCCCUAAAGGCUCAAGAUACACAAACAGGCAACUGAGUUUGGGAAAGGUGGUUGUCUCCUUGACGCACACCAUGGUGCCCUUGUCUACUCUCUGUCUUCUUCCUUGGACAGACACCUUAUUUACUCCUAGUAGGUUCUCUCGUACCAUUUUUCGGUGGAGUUGUACUGGCAUCUUUGACUGAAGUUUCUUUCAACUGAGACAAAACAUGACAAGAAAGGGGAAGAACUAACCUACAUGGAGCUUGGUCAAGGUCGCCGCUCAUGUUUGAUGGCAUUGUUUCUGGUUCCACUGACGUUGUCGAUGCCUGUUACCUAUGGCCCC